ACAAGCAAGCGAACACACGUACAAGCUCCACGCACUUCAACAGCUACACACGCACGCACACGUGCUCCAUCACAGCGUAAGAAGUAACAAGACACCCUAUUUCAGCUCUCUCCGUGUCGCACCGUGGAAAGGCGAGGGGAAGGCGCGGAGGGUAUCCUUGAGCGUUCAUAUUGUUGGUGCCUUCUAUUUGUGUCCCUUUCGGCUCUUCUCUAUUCUAUUCACAGCUCCACAACACGACGGUGAUUAGACUCCCCCCGUCGUGUUUUUGUUUUCAUAAUUUUGCGCUUUUUGCACUUCGCACAUAGCGUCGAAGAAUCAGGAGAAAUUAUCACAAACAAGCGAGCGUUAUUGCACAAUGUCGGAUCGACCAAUCAGCAGCUCCGCCAGCGCCGUGAGUGAGGCCAGCCAGCCGCCGAUGGAGGUGGCAUAUCCUCUGAAUGAGGAGGUGGAGGUGCCCGGGACGGAUGGCGGCCUGUACAAGACAGUGCUGGUGGAGGGUGCGGGCUCGCAACCCGUGAAGGGGGCCAAGGUAACGGUCCACUAUGUCGGCACGCUGCUGGACGGCACAAAGUUUGACAGCAGCCGCGACAGGGGUGACUGCUUUGAGUUCACCCUGGGCCGUGGCCAGGUCAUCAAGGGCUGGGACAAGGGUGUGUCGACGAUGCGGAUUGGCGAGAAAGCGCUGUUGAGGUGUUCGCCGGAGUACGCUUACGGCGUCGCUGGCAGCCCCCCCACCAUUCCUGCCAACGCCACGCUUCUCUUUGAGGUGGAGCUGUUCCAUUGGACGCGCGAGGUCGACAUCUCCGCUGCGAAGGACAAGUCCCUCAUGAUGAGCGUCUUGAAAGAUGGCGUCGACUACGAGAAUCCAGACUUUGAGUCGUCCGUGACGAUGGACCUUCUCAUUUACGUGGGCGAAUUCGAUCCGGAGAACAAGGACAAGUACACACCGGUGAAGACGAUGCCCGACUGGAAGGCCGUCGUCGGCGUCACGUCGCUGCCUCCGCACCUAGAGGCGUUUCUGUACAAGAUGCGCAAGCGGGAAUCGGCGGCGUGCCGGGUGCGCAGCGACCUGAUCUGCGACGCCGUGCCGGAGUUCGCCAUCCCGUCCAGCGCCGAGCGAGGCCACUGCGAUGUCACAUACGUGGUCGAGAUCAGCGAGCUGAGCCGUGUCAAGACGUAUGAUUUCAUCGGAGAAGCCAAGGUUGCUGAGGGGGAGAAGCGCAAGAACAGUGGAAACGACGCGUUCAAAGCCGGCAAGCUGGACCUGGCGGAGCGCUUCUACCGUCGCGCGAUGGAGUUCAUCGGGCAAGACUACGGCUUCGAUGACACCGUUAAGCCGGAAUGCCAUCGUGUACGCAUCGGCGUGAUGGGAAACCUCGCGCAGGUGCUGCUGAUGCGCAACAAGUACGCCGAGUCCGCUGACUUCUCACGGAAGGUGCUAAGCCUCGACUCCAGCAACACGAAGGCGCUCUUUCGCCUGGCGAAGGCGCUGGACGGACUGCAGGACUGGGACGACGCUUUGAAGUGUGUCACUGACAUCCUCGCCAUCGACCCUGGGAAUGCCGACGCGGCCAGCUUGAAGGUGCGACUCAUGCAGGAGCAGAGGGCCUUCGACCAAAAGCAGAAGUCCAUGUUCAAGAAGAUGUUCGCCUAGAGGGCUGCUCAAGCGUGGCCGCGGAGAACACACACACGCACACGGACUCUCCGCUUCUCCUUCGCUCGCCCGUCUCGGCUGCACCUUCCCUGCAGCGUCAUACGGUGACUUCCCUCUUCUUUCUCUUACAUUUUUUCUUUUGAAGUAUUUUCUGUUGUCUCUCCUCCUCCGUCCUCAUCCCUCUGCGUCUCGCUGGCGUGCUUAUGGCCCAGUCGCACGAGCGGAGCGAAGACUCUUUUUUUCAGCGUGUCCAUUCUACCAGAAGCAAUCUAACAAACGCAUCCGCACACAACAACACCACUUGACCCGCCUCUGCUGCACCACGGCGAGGCUCCUGUCCGCGAGGACGAGCCGCUCUGCCGUCGAGUCGGGGGCACGCGUCUGGCGGGCUCCCCUCGUCCUUCCUCGUCCCUUCUACGCAUGCGCGCUGCGCGAUCGGCGCGAACGCGCUUGGCUGGACGGCGUCCAUCGAUCCGAAGCGGCCCGCGUCCACGGCCCUGCUCGAGGGCGGAGGCGGCGGCGUCUGUGGUGCGGGUGGUAGGGGGAGGGGCACUGCAGGUGCAUGCCGGAUGAGCUCCAGCCGCAAGUUGGCCAGAGUCAGGCCAGGGCCCCCUGAGGCCCUGCACCCGGCCUGUGUGCCGUGCAUCGCCCUGACUCGCCUCAGGCCGCUGCGCGCCGUAACGUGGUGUGGAGACUCUCCGCAUGGGGGCCUGGUGGGGUCGGUGGUGCAACUCGGGGUGUCCCCCGUCAUGCUGCCGGCGUCCGUGCCGCAUCAGCCCACCCGGCCGGAUGUAGGAGAUGCGGCAUAUGCCGCGCACAUGCACUGUGGCGCUGGCCGGUGUGCGUCUCUUCGCGCCUUUCCCGUCCAUCACUCGUGCUCCUCUGACCUCUGCAUGCCUUCUUGGAUGUCAUACACCGUCUAUGCGUGCUGUGCUUGACCGCAG
rnacentral:misc_RNA from 1 species